GAGAUGGAAAAUAAAACUUAAACGUCAAGAAUGUUCAAUAAUAAAAAGUAUUGCCCGAGUCUUAUAUUGCUUAAGGUGAAAUUUGAUGAAGGAUAGAAGCGAACCUUGACCCAAUACCUAUAUAGAGGUAAGAACCAAAGGUAUAAAAAUAUGGUUGAACGCCACACCGGUUUGGUGAUAAGUUUAAUUGAGUUUGGAUGGAUGCCACUAGCAAGCUAGAUAAGUUGCUUCGAGACUCGAACG
rnacentral:lncRNA from 1 species